rnacentral:rRNA from 1 species
GAUGAACGCUGGCGGCGUGCCUAAUACAUGCAAGUCGAGCGAACAGACGAGGAGCUUGCUGCUCUGACGUUAGCGGCGGACGGGUGAGUAACACGUGGCUAACCUACCUAUUAGACUGGGAUAACUUCGGGAAACCGGAGCUAGUACCGGAUAAUAUAUUGAACCGCAUGGUGCAAUAGUUGAAGGCGGUUUUUCUGCUACUUAUAGAUGGAUCCGCGCCGCAUUAGCUAGUUGGUAAGGGAACGGUUUACCAAGGCAACGAUGGGGAGCCGACGUGAGAGGGUGAUCGGCCACACUGGAACUGAGACACGGUCCAGACUCCGACGGGAGGCAGCAGUAGGGGAUCUGCCGCAAUGGGCGAAAGCCUGACGGAGCAGCGCCGAGGGAGUGAUGAAGGUGUUCGGAUCGGAAUACUCUGUUAUUAGGGAAGAACAAAUGGGUAAGUAACUAUGCACGUCUUGACGGUACCUAAACAGAAAGCCACGGCUAACUACGUG